ACUCCUACGGGAGGCAGCAGUGGGGAAUAUUGCACAAUGGGGGAAACCCUGAUGCAGCCAUGCCGCGUGUGUGAAGAAGGCCUUCGGGUUGUAAAGCACUUUCAGUAGGGAGGAAGGUAGUGUAGUUAACACCUGCAUUAUUUGACGUUACCUACAGAAGAAGCACCGGCUAACUCCGUGCCAGCAGCCGCGGUAAUACGGAGGGUGCGAGCGUUAUCCGGAUUUAUUGGGUUUAAAGGUCCGUAGGCGGAUUAAUAAGUCAGUGGUGAAAUCCCAUCGCUUAACGAUGGAACUGCCAUUGAUACUGUUAGUCUUGAAUGAGGGUGCAGUGGUUGGAAUGUGUAGUGUAGCGGUGAAAUGCAUAGAUAUUACACAGAACACCGAUUGCGAAGGCAGAUCACUAACCCUAAAUUGACGCUGAGGGACGAAAGCGUGGGGAGCAAACAGGAUUAGAUACCCUGGUAGGUAC
rnacentral:rRNA from 1 species